rnacentral:lncRNA from 1 species
AUAAAAUUUGAAUUUUUUUUGGUGUAGUCGUUUAUGUUGGUUGCACCGCUUUUUUGUGUCAGAAGAAAUUUUUUUUUUGUCAUGCCAUUGAUGUUGGUUGCACCCUUUUCUUUUUUCUUUUUGUCUUGCCAUUGAUAUUGGCUGCACCCAUUUAAUUGUGUUUUGAAUUUUUUUUGAUCAUAUCAUUGAUUUGCAUCGGGGCAUUUUUGUUAGAAAAUUUUGAAUGGAAAUUAAAAAGAAAAGUUAUAGGGCAAGAAAUGAUAAAAGGAGGAUGGAAAAUAAAAAAUAAUAAUGAAAAUGAAACUGGAAAUGAGAAAAAAUAAUGGAAGAAG